AACCAAUGCAGUUAGUCCAGAAAGCAACUCCAAGGUCUUAUCGGUGAGGUUGCUGUUCUGGGACAGAUUUAACAGCGUUAAGGAUGUAAGGUCCUUGAUGUUCUUCACACCGGCAUCGGUUAACAAGCCACCGCACAUCUCAAGGGACUGCAGUUUCUUGAAGUGUCUGAGACAAGUCAUUCCAUAGUCUGAGAUGCGAGCUCCAAAAAGAUCGAGGUGAGUUAAUCCAGUCAGACUUGCAAGAGCCAGAAGGCCAGAAUCUGUGAUUUGCCUCGAAUCUAGAUUAAGUGAUUUCAGGGUUGUCAAUCCGGCUAACUUUCUCAAACCACUGUCAGUGACCAAAGUGAAGGAUAAAUUGAUAGUCUCCAGGUGGCAUAAACCAGAGAGAUGUCGAAGUCCACUGCUUCCAACCUCUGUGUCUGAUAACUCAAGACGUUUUAACUGCAAGAGGCCUUUCAAGUUCAGUAAACCUUCAUCGCCAAUCUUACAGGAAUCCAGGUUCAAGCUUUCCAAAUUUCUUAAAUCUUUUAGAUGUAUCAAGCAUGUAUCAGAUAUGUUGUUGAAGCCCAAACUCAGGACUUUUAACUUAACAAGCUCAGCAAAUCUCUCACAGCCAACAUCAGACAGACGGCAUCGACUAAGAUUCAAAUACACCAACGGAACAGUCCCUGCAAGAAACUCCAGACAAGCAGCAGUAACUGGGCACCCUUCCAAAUUCAAGUGAGCAAGUUUAGACAAACCUCUCAAAUAAGCAACACCUGCAUCUGUAACCUUGGUGCACGACAUUUGCAACUCUUGU
rnacentral:misc_RNA from 1 species